GGGCCCGCACAAGCGGUGGAGCAUGUGGUUUAAUUCGAUGAUACGCGAGGAACCUUACCAGGGCUUAAAUGUAAGUUGCAUAAGCUAGAGAUAGCUUUUUCUUCGGACUACUUACAAGGUGCUGCAUGGUUGUCGUCAGCUCGUGCCGUGAGGUGUCAGUUAAGUCCUAUAACGAGCGCAACCCCUGUUGUUAGUUGCCAUCGAGUAAUGUCGGGAACUCUAACAAGACUGCCGGUGCAAACCGUGAGGAAGGUGGGGAUGACGUCAAAUCAUCACGGCCCUUACGUCCUGGCUACACACGUGCUACAAUGGCCGGUACAGAGAGCAGCCACUACGCGAGUAG
rnacentral:rRNA from 1 species